rnacentral:rRNA from 1 species
CGCGAAUGGCUCAUUAUAACAGCUAAAAUCUACUUGAUCUUGACACAAUCCUACUUGGAUAACUGUGGUAAUUCUAGAGCUAAUACAUGCAUUAAAGCUCUGACCUCACGGGAAGAGUGCACUUAUUAGAACAAAACCAAGCGGCUUCGGCUGUUUCUGGUUGACUCAUAGUAACUGAGCUGAUCGCACGGUCUUGCACCGGCGACGUGUCUUUCGAGUAUCUGCCGUAUCAACUUUCGAUGGUAGUGUAUCUGACUACCAUGGUGAUCACGCGUAACGGAGAAUAAGGGUUCGGCUCCGGAGAGUUCGCCUGAGAAAUCGCGAACACAUCUAAGGAAGGCAGCAGGCGCGAAAAUUACCCACUCUCAGCACGAGGAGGUAGUGACGAAAAAUAACGAGACCGUUCUCUUAUGAGGCCGGUCAUCGGAAUGGGUACAAUUUAAACCCUUUAACGAGUAUCUAUGAGAGGGCAAGUCUGGUGCCAGCAGCCGCGGUAAUUCCAGCU